rnacentral:lncRNA from 10 species
GACAUGUAGGCACUAAUGGGUAUGAAAUGAAUUUUAUUACUCACACAGUAAGCCACAAAAAUAUUUCCCAAGGUGAAGGGCUCAGAUUUUGAAAGAAGCGAAACAAGAGAAAAGCAGAGAGCAGACGUUGGGGUCCUUAUAAUGGCUAGGGGUUGUGGCUGGAGAAGAGACCACAUGCAGGGUGGGAAUUCACCACAGAGUUUGUACCCAGCUGCAAAGGAUGAGUGGAGCACAGAAACUCCUUUAUCUUAGUUGCCCAGUGUCGGGUAGCAGGAAAGAAAGAUGGGAAUCUGAAAGCCGCCAGGUCAAACACUAAAAGAGGAACCCAUCUCUUAAUUAUUAGAAUAAAAGUAGAAGAAAUCAUCAAUUUAGAAGCUGUGGUGCAGUGAGGAGAAGAUGGGGAUAGGUAAACAGGGCUUUAAAUUAGAAAAUGAGACUCUCGUAUAGGUUUAUCAGCUCCCGUGUGGGCCCUCGCUCCACCCUGCUAUUCUGCAUUCUCCGGGAUUCACACCAACCACCGAGUCACUCCCAGUGAGAGAAUCUUCGUUCCUCAAUUGAAGACGCAGAGCUUACUCACAGUUUUGACCCUUCUUGGUGGGAGCUGCAGAGCAGAGCUGCUUCUAUUCAGCAGCUGCUCCCCCAGUGCUAUGAUUUUAAUGUGUCCCCUCCAAAGUUCUUGUUAAAGCUUAAUCCUCAUUGUGGUGGCAUUGAGAGUUGUGGCAGAGUUUGGGUAAGCAGACCCCUCAUGAAUGGUUUAGUGCCUUAUAAAAGAGCUAGAAGGCCUAGCUUAGGUCCUUUUUUGCCCUUCCACCUUCUGCCAUGUGAGGAUAGUUUUCAUCCCUUUGGCCAUGUGACGAUGCAACCAGAAGGCCUUCACCAGACAUCAAAUGCCGUUACCUUGAUCUUGGACUUCUCACUCUCCAGAACUGUGCAAAUUGAUGUGGCUGUGUCACCACUUAUGGGGUGCCACCAAUGUUGCUAAGUAACGGGGGAUGGAGGAAUAGGCAAGGCAGCCCCCACUUUGAGAGAAGAAUGAGGCUAGGCCCAGAACCACACAGGCUGCCAUGGAGGCCAUCAGCCAAAACUGUUUUUUAGUGGUUUAAUUAAUAAGUUUAAUAAAAUGUGUUUCAUAUUUUUUUCAUAUUUUUAUAGAGAAAUCCAGAUUUACUUUAUAUCUAUUCCAGUAUAAGAAUUAUUUUUAUUUAUGCUAGGACUGAAUUAAAGACAUGUCAUUGAAACAGGAUCCUUUUUCUAUUUUUAGGUCAUUCCAAUAAACUAUCAUAGUUCCAACAGCCUCUUAGGGCUUAGUACUGACUGGUGUGUGGUUAAGAGGAAGAAAUUUCUUAAGCAAGGUUUUAAGAUAUGGCAUUUGGAAAAUUAAGAAAAAGUCAUGAAUGGUCUCUUUUACUUCACUGGCCAAAAAAUAAAUUAUACAAUAAUGGUAUUAUUUGUGUAGUUUUCAGUCCUGAAACUCUGGGCAUACAAAGAACUUUUAACUACAAUUUGAUUGACAGAUGGACCAAAGACCUUAACAGACACCUCACCAAAGAAGAUGUGCAGAUGACAUAGAAAAAGACACUCCGCAUCAUAUGUCAUCAAGGAAAUGCAAAGGGAAACAAUAAUGAGGUCCCGCUACACACCUAUUAGAAUGGCCAAAAUCUAGAAUACUGAGAGCAUCGAAUGCUGGUAAGGAUAUGGAGCAACAGGAAUUCUCAUUCAGUCCUGCUGGGAAUGAGAAUAGUAUAGUCAGUUUCGAAGACAUUUUAGUAGUUUUUAAAAAACUAAACGUACUCUUAUGAUAUGAUCCAGCAAUCACACUUUUGGUAAUUGCCCAAAAGAAUUGAAAACUUACAUUUUCACAUAAGUACACAAAAAUUUGUACCAAGAUAUUUAUUGAUGUGUACACACAAGUACACAGAAACUUGUACACAGAUAUUUAUAGAGGCUUUAUUCAUAGUUGCCAAGAUAUCCUUCACUAUGUGACUGGAUAAAUAAACUGAUACAUACAGAUAAGAUAAUACCGUUUAGCAUUAAAAAGAAAUGAACUAUCAAAAAUGAAAAGACAUGGAGGAAACUUAAAUGUGUAUUAUUAAGUGAAAGAAGCCAAUCUGAAAAAGGUACAUAGUGUAUAAUUCCAAAUAUAAGACAUUCUGGAAAAAGCAAAACUAUGGACACAAUGAAAAGAUCAGUCAAUUGAAAUAAAUAAAUAUGUUUUUAAAAAUCAGUGGUUUCCAGGUAUUAGAGAGAAGAUAGGGAUGAAUCGGCAGAGCACAGAGAACUUUUAAGUCAGGGAAACUUCUUUGUAUAAUAUUCUACAGUGGUACAUGUCAUUAAAAAUUUGUUUAAUCUCACAGAUUGUACAGCAUCAAACGUGAAUGCUAAAAUAAACUGUGGAAUCUUGGGUGAUAAUGAUAUGUCAAUGCAGAUUCAUCAGUUGUAACAUAUGUACCACUCUAGUGGGGAAUGGUUAUAAUGGGGAAGGCUAUGCAUACAUAGGGGCAGAAGGUAAAUGGGAAAUUUCUGUAUCUUCUGUUCAAUUUUGCUGUAAACGUAAAAUUGCUCUAAAAAUAGCCUAAGACUGGUUUUAUAAUAACAGUAGGCCAUUAUUCAUAUUAGCAUUAUCAUUAUAGUCAUGAAUACAGUCUUCUCUUGACUAUAGGGAACACAGUGCUUUUAGAUUUCCUAGCAUCCAUUUAGCUUCCAUUUUAAAAAUAGAACAACACUAAGAACUUCUAUAUUAUAUGCACUAUGAAGCCAUAUAUUGUAGCUCAUUAAUUUAUUUGGUAAUAAAGUGCUAAUUAGUGAUAUAACACUGACUCAAACAAGUUAGCUGAAUGGUUUUAAUAAUCAUAGAACACACCCUGAAUCUCCAUCAGACUUAUUUUAUUCAUUCAGUUGGUCAAAAGAAGAAAUAGAACAAAUGUGAUGAAUGAAAACACAUCCAUAAAUUAUACUAGAAAAAAUAGCUCAAAAUAUAUGUCUAGCAGAGUUAUUCAGUGCUGUUAACUCCAACUUCCUUAUUAGCAUUUCAUUACUACAUAAUACAGUUGAAUUCAAUCCUCGAGCUGGUUUUGCUUUAUUUGAUGGUUAUAUCAGGGAUACAUAUUCUAGUGCAUCCAAUAGGAAGCCACAUUAGCACAUUGGACCUUGAUGAACUUAAUCUAAAAUUAUAAUCUUCAAUAACCUUGUAAUACUACAUAGAAUAUAACUGAGCCAAUAAAACAUACUUAUUUUUGUUUACCUUUCAAUUUACACAUAAGUUAAAUCUACAUUUUAUCUAAUUAAAACCAGAUUGUUGGACUCUCAAAUGCCUUGAGAAAUCUAUCACUUAUUGAAGUGCAUGGCACUUUUAAAACAUAAAUGAAAACUUCAGAGAAUUACAAUUUAUAUUACACAAAUACAACUUCUGUCAAUUCUGUCACAGUCUAAACAUAACCAGCUGCCUCUGCAAUGAUAUCAAGUGGCAAUUAAAAUAGCACCAGUAAUGUUACACUACAGUGAGGUGCAGAAAAUAUUUUGUCUGGUAAAAGCAAGAAUUAUAUUUAGAUGGUUGAGAUUCAUGUUCCAUAUUAAAAGAACAAAUGUUCUGAAAGAUUAGUCUUUGGUGCCAUCAUGUCUAUUUGUGCAUAAUCUUGGACACAGGGUGGCUUGCAUGAGCCAGAUAUCUGUCUUGUUCAACUUUAGUCCGCUAAGCCGUGGUCUCCAAGUAUCUUCUGCAGACCAUUAGUUCAAUGAAAUACUAAUAGGAAUUUUGUCAAAAAAUAAGUUCUAUGAUCACAUAGGAUUUGGAAAUGCUAUGUUAAGCUUGCACAUUUUUCUCUCCAAUGAAUUGUCAACUCUUUAAUGUACUCACAUGCAUUAUGGAUUUUUUAGAGAAAAUGCAUAACUUCCCCCAAAUUAUUUAAUUAUAGAACACAUGCCAGAAUAACCAUUAACUUUUAGAUAAAAUAUAUGUUUGGGACAAGCAAAGUUGGAAAAAAUUGUUUUGUUAUCUGAUAUUUGCUUAAGGCAUCAAAGAAGUUAACACCAGGAAAAAUAAAAAUUUGGUUGGAUUGGUUACAUUUGUUCCACGUCUAAUGUGUU